ensembl:snRNA U4 U4 spliceosomal RNA
AGCUUUGCGCAGUGGCAGUAUCGUAGCCAAUGAGGUUUAUCUGAGGCGCGAUUAUUGCUAAUUGAAAAGAUAACCUCACUUAGACUCUUGCCUUAAAUACUCACAAAUACACAUAUAUGUA